UGAGGAAUCUUGCGCAAUGGGCGAAAGCCUGACGCAGCCACGCCGCGUGUCGGAAGACGGCCCUAUGGGUUGUAAACGACUUUUACCAGGGAAGAAACGGAGGGUUUAGACCUUUUUUGACGGUACCUGGUGAAUAAGCACCGGCUAACUCCGUGCCAGCAGCCGCGGUAAUACGGAGGGUGCAAGCGUUGUCCGGAAUCAUUGGGUGUAAAGGGUGCGUAGGCGGAUGUUUAAGUCUGAGGUGAAAUCUUGCCGCUUAACGGUAAAAUGGCCUUGGAUACUGGGCAUCUUGAGUGCAGAAGAGGCAGGUGGAAUUCGUAGUGUAGCGGUGAAAUGCAUAGAUAUUACGAAGAACAUCAGUGGCGAAGGCGGCCUGCUGGUCUGCAACUGACGCUGAGGCACGAAAGCGUGGGGAGCGAACAGGAUUAGAUACCCCCGUAGUCC
rnacentral:rRNA from 1 species